rnacentral:tRNA from 2 species
UCUAUUAUGGCAGAAAUAUGCAAUGAACUUAAAAUUCAUUUAUAAAGAACAUUCUUUUUUUAGAA